AAUGGGCGAAAGCCUGAUGGAGCGACACCGCGUGAAGGAUGAAGGUCUUCGGAUUGUAAACUUCUUUAGACCUAGAUGAAGGCAACCGGGUGAAUAAUCCGGUUGUUUGACAGUAUAGGUAGAAUAAGCCACGGCUAACUCUGUGCCAGCAGCCGCGGUAAUACAGAGGUGGCAAACGUUGUCCGGAUUUAUUGGGUGUAAAGGGCAUGUAGGCGGCUUCGUAAGUCAAAGGUGAAAUGGCCCGGCUCAACCAGGUCAUUGCCUUUGAAACUGCGGGGCUCGAGUACGGAAGAGGAAAGCGGAAUUCCCAGUGUAGCGGUGAAAUGCGUAGAUAUUGGGAGGAACACCGGUGGCGAAGGCGGCUUUCUGGUCCCGAAACUGACGCUGAGAUGCGAAAGCCAGGGGAGCAAACGGGAUUAGAU
rnacentral:rRNA from 1 species